rnacentral:rRNA from 1 species
CCUACGGGAGGCAGCAGUGAGGAAUAUUGGGCAAUGGGCGCGAGCCUGAACCAGCCAAGUAGCGUGAAGGAUGACUGCCCUACGGGUUGUAAACUUCUUUUAUAAAGGAAUAAAGUGAGGCACGUGGGCCUUUUUGGAUGGACUUUAUGAAUAAGGAUCGGCUAACUCCGUGCCAGCAGCCGCGGUAAUACGGAGGAUCCGAGCGUUAUCCGGAUUUCUGGGGGUUAAAGGGAGCGUAGAUGGGUUGUUAAGUCAGUUGUGAAUGUUUGCGGCUCAACCGUAAAAUUGCAUUUGAUACUGGCAGUCUUGUGUACAGUUGAUGUAGGCUGCAUUCGUGGUGUAGCGGU